CCCUUAGAUGUUCUGGGCCGCACGCGCGCUACACUGAUGCGUUCAACAAGUUUCCUUGGCCGAGAGGCCUGGGCAAUCUUCUUAAUAUGUAUCGUGAUAGGGAUAGAUUAUUGCAAUUAUUAAUCUUGAACGAGGAAUUCCUAGUAAACGCAGAUCAUCAAUCUGCAUUGAUUACGCCCCUGCCCUUUGUACACACCGCCCGUCGCACCUACCGAUUGGAUGUUCCGGUGAAGCCUCGGGAUGAGGACUGGUGCCUUUAUUGGCAUGAGUUGUUCAGAACUUGUCUAAACCUUAUCAUCUAGAGGAAGGUGAAGUCGUAACA
rnacentral:rRNA from 1 species